GAUUAACGCUGGCGGCGUGCAUAACACAUGCAAGUCGAACGAUGAAACUCAUUAGAUUUCUUCGGAGUGAAACUGAAUGGAUUAGUGGCGAACGGGUGAGUAACGCGUGAGUAACCUGCCUUACACAAGGGGAUAGCCUCUGGAAACGGAGAAUAAUACCCUAUGAAACCAGACAAUCGCAUGAUAAUCUGGUCAAAAUGUUUAGUGGUGUAAGAUGGACUUGCGUCUGAUUAGCUAGUUGGUGAGAUAAAAGCUCACCAAGGCAACGAUCAGUAGCCGGCUUGAGAGAGUGUACGGCCACAUUGGGACUGAGACACGGCCCAGACUCCUACGGGAGGCAGCAGUGGGGAAUUUUGCACAAUGGGGGAAACCCUGAUGCAGCGACGCCGCGUGAUUUAGAAGGCCUUCGGGUUGUAAAAAUCUUUUGUAUAGGAAGAAAAUGACAGUACUAUACGAAUAAGGUCCGGCUAAUUACGUG
rnacentral:rRNA from 1 species